UUUUGAUUUUGCUUAAACAAAAGUUUGAUACUGAUAAAAUAAAUAUGAGUGCAUACAAAUGUAUUUAUUCAAAACAUGCAUACUAAUUUCAUUAUUAUUAUCAUUUCAAAAUAGACAAGUUUUACAAGUGAACAAUACUUAAAAAACAAAAAAAUUUACAAAUGAAAAUGAUUGAACGACAAAAUGAUCGAUGGCGUGAUUAGCGUUAAUAUUCACCCACAGAUGCAACCCCUCUAACCAUUUAUGUGCAUUCCUAUUCAAUAACGAGGUUCACCUCCAACCCAUCAUGGGUAGGUAGACGAUUAGUUUUCACGUUGGGCUUUUCCUCAGAGAAAUACAAAAUCUUCUAGUCGAUGAGCUCUUAUACCUUGGUUUUGAAGACUAUGCAAUCUUCGGUGGCGUGCCCAAUGUAUCCGGCAUGGAAUGCGCACGACACGCUAGGAUUAUGUUUUGGGUGAUAAGGGAAGACAACAGGCGGAAUCUCUUUCAGAAUAAUUUCCCCCACAUGGACGAUAUAGGGUAGUAAUUAUGUGUAUGGUACAUGGAUCUUAUCAAUAUGGGUAUGCCUUCUAUCACUGCGUCUAUUCUACACUUGACCUUGGUUUUUAUUAUUCUGAGGUGGUUGCUAAUACUGGUUUGCAGCAAUAUAUGGAUAGGGAUAGUAUGGCAUGGGAGCCAUAGGAUCUUGAAAUUAAGGGUGGACAUUUGCCAUCACGGCUUUGCAUCCCCUUCCCUUUUCUUAGCAAAGCUACCUUGUGGUUUCUUGGCCACUUUCUGAUAAUCAGCAACACCGUAGAUCUUCCCAAUUUUCAGCCCAUUUUCAAUGCGUUCUCCAAUUGUUACAACAUCAAUAAAGUUGGAAGAUGAACUACCGACCAUUUUCCCAAAGUACAAACCCUGGAGAGUGCCCAUGAAAAUAUCAACCAAUUAUGUGUCUGGUUGCACAGCUCGAACACAUGAAGCCAUUUCACGCCAUCUUUGAGCAUAUUCUUUAAAAGUUUUGUUGGUUCUUUGAGCUUGAUUUUGCAAUUGUAACCUGGUGGGAGCCAUGUUCAGGUUGUAUUUAUAUUGCUUCAAAAAUACUUCAGACAAAUCUUUCCAUGAUCGGAUUUUGCUACGCUCGUGGCCCAUAUACCAAUCAAGAGAAUCCCCAGACAUGUUAUCCUGAAGGCAAUGGAUAAGCAACACGUCAUUAUCAAUGCAGGAAGCCAUCUUCCUGCAGUACAUAAUGAUGUGGCUUCUCGAAUAGUUAAUCCUUUUGUAUUUUGGUAGAUCAGGAAUCUUAAAAUUUUAAGGAAGAACCAUGUUUGGUACCAGACACAACUCCUUUGCAUUUAUACCGUAAGCGGAAAACCCUUUAAUAGCCCUGAUUCUUUCAUCUAGUGACUGAUAAUUAGCAGGCUUGCUCUGAAUUGAAUCAGGAACAUUCUUAUUGGUAGGUUGGCCUUAUAGAUAAGUCUGGGGGAUUAAGAAGUUAAGUAGCUUGUGAAGUAGUCUGAGCAUGAUUUGGUAGAGAAGCAAACUGAGGAAAUAUUUGAGUAUGAUACAUUGCACCAGGACUAAUAGUAUGACCAUGUUUGACCAUAUACGAAGCAUAGGGUUCCACAGGAUAAGAAAAUAGGGGUACAACAACAGAAUGUGCCCCAGAAUGGGCAAAAGGCAUUCCAAAUUGGACACCUUGAUAUGGGUCCUGAGCAGUAGGUUAAGCAACUUGAGAAGGAAUUUGAACAUGAAUGGGAGGGCCCCUGUAUUAAGGCUCAUUUUCAUCAUGUGUCUCGGCAGUUACAGGCACUGGAGUCUGUUGAGGUUGUUCCUCAUUAUUGUCAAUGGCCACUAAUUCAGGAGAUAGACGGGGAGGCAUUCCCCAUGGAUGAACAACAUAAUUCCUAGUGAUCGCAUGCACAUGCGUUGGCUGAUAAGGAAUGAAGGCACCCCUAUUAGCAGUCUUAGGAACAAAGUUCUGAGGCAUGCCCUAGGGAUAUACAUCAGGAUGCACAUUGGGCCCUGGAACAGAGCCUGGUUGAUUCGGGAUAGGUUAAGCAGCAUUCUCAAUAGGAGUUUCGAUGACAACAUAAGUGGUAGCCUCUUUUUGAGUAUGAAGGUACUCUAGGAUGGAGUUCACCUUACCUUGACACUGAUUCAUUUGGCUCUAGAUCUAGUCCAAGGUCUCCUUAUAAGUAGAAUUCUCUUGUUCAACAUCAUCCAUGAUUUUCCGUCUAUUAGCUCUUGUGAAGUAUCUGUGUUGGAGAGUCGUCAUUUUUUCUGGUUAAGGAAGGAAAAAGGUGAGCUUUCUGGCUUGUAUGUAUGAAAUGCAAAUGCAUGAAUGUAUGCAUAUGUUGUGGGUGGAAUGCAAUUAGAUAUGCAACAUCCAUUGAUUCGAAGGUUAGAUGAUGCAAUAACUUAGGUUCAAAAGUUAGGUAUAUAUGAUGAUGCAUUAAUAAUAUGCAAUAAUGUCAGUUAAAAGCACAACAUAUUCUGGAUCGUCUGCACAUACUGCUCGAUGCAGGUUCAAAGGUCUGACGUAUACAUGAUGAUCAAGGUAUGUAGAGUCUUGGUUUCUUGUAGAAAAACCCAUAUCCCCCUCACAAGUAGGUUAUAGUCUUCAAAAGGUAGUCUCUAAAAGGUAUCCCGGAGUCAUCAAUCCAAAUGAAAAUACCCUAUCGUAGCGAAUUCUCGUAGGAUAAAGGUACUUCCAAGUGAACCUAGUCUGGGUGUGGGUCUCGUGUCAACCCAAUGCGCGAAACGCAGAUAGACACGAUUAUCCAUGAGUCAAUCAUGUGUGUAUACUCAAGCUCGGGUAUGGAGCUUCUCUCAUGUAACAUCAUCCUAACCCAACAGAGAGUAUAUAUAACAGCUAUCCGGAGUAAACGUGAAUAUUUAAAGCAAUAAAGAAUUCAAUAAAUAACAUAACAAUAAAGCAAGUAAAGCGUAAAGAUAAACACCCAAACAAACAAAGAAGCAAAUAAAACUAGGCUUGACUCUCUCUUGCAAGAGCAAGGACUCCCCAACAAAGUCGUCAACUAUCGCACCGCGAAAAAUACCUAAGUGCAUCGCACACUCGAAGAGACAACAGAGUCACCACCAAAUUUUAUUUAUUCCCGAAGGAAAGGGAAAAUAUCGAUAAAACCCAAGGGGGAGAGAAAAGGGGUAAGGAAGCCAAUUAUGCAAGGGGAAGGUAUUAGCACCUCUCAUAUUUGUUGUACUCAACGAGAACCAUUUUGAUUGUUCUUUGCUCUAAUGGGUGGUAUUAUCUAAAAAUUACUUGCAAAUAACAAAAGGGAAAAGAUGUUUAAUAAUUAAUGUGCUCACCAAGGAUUCAAACCCUUGUGCCUACGUAUUCUCAUCGUGUAAUGACAAAAUCAGAGCUCCAUAGUUCAUAGAAAUAAGGGUGAAAAAAGAAAAAAGGUGAUCGAAGUGAUAGAAAUUAUGUUAUAACCAAGAAGGGACAAAUGUGGUGUUUAAACCGGAGAGGUGGGUGUUUUAAUUGAGACUCAAUGAUUAACCCAAAGAGAAAGGUAAGAGUCUAUGCUAUUUUAACCGAGAAUAGGUGAUAAACUAAAAGAGAAAGAGAAAAUGGUAUUUUAAUCGAUAAACGAUGAUUAACCAAAAGAGGAAGAGAAAAUGGUAGUUUAACCGAUAGAUAGUGAUUAACCAAAAUAGAAAGAUAAAAUGGUAUUUUAACCGAUAGACGGUGCUUAACCAAAAGAGAAAGAGAAAAUGGUGCUUUAACCGAUAGAUUGUGAUUAACCAAAAGAGAAAGAGAAAAUCGCAUUUUAACUAAUAGGCAGUGAUUAACCAAAAGAGAAAGAGAAAGUGGUAUUUUAACCGAUAGACGGUGAUUAACCAAGGAAAGGAGACGAUGGUCUUUUAACCGAGAAUCGGUGAUUAACAAAGGAAAGAAGAUAAGAUGGUCUUUUAACCGAGAAUCGGUGAUUAAUCAAGGAAAUGAAUAGAUGGUAUUUUAGCCUAGAAUCGAUGAUUAACCAAUGAAAGGGUAUGUUAACUAAGAAGUGAUUAACCCAAAAAGAGAGAAGAUGGUUUUUUAACCGAGAAUCGGUGAUUAACCAAGGAAAGAAGAUAAAAUUAUCUUUCAACCAAGAAUCGAUGAUUAACCAAGGAAAGGGUAAUUCCAAAGAGGAAGUGUAUUGUUGUUGGAGAUGGUUGAAGUAUUGCUUGUAGGGAAUAAGACUUGACAAUUAUUUGAUUUGAAUUGCACUAAAGUCUAUGAGUAGAUGUGAAUACUCUGAGCAACUAAGUCAUUCGUCCCGUACCCAAAGAUAUUCAGAAUAAUAAUAUGAAAUCUCCCUCUCAUCCCUUCUCUACUACUUAAGGCUUGUGGUGUGCAGUUCGAAUUGUAACUGACAAGUUGCUGAAGCGGGACCUCUGUUGUACUUGAAUAGUAAUCCAGUCUCCAGUAUGUCUACAAUGUUGUAUCUUACUUGUAUUGACUUGAAUGUGACGUCUUGAACUUGAGUUAAGGUCUUGGAAUAUCCAAUGCAGCUCUAGUACAGAGGACAAGUCUUAUCAAGAUCAAUAGGUUUUUGAUCACUUGAAUAGACCAAGGGAAUAAGCAAAUUAUCAAAGGAUUUAGUUGAUCAAAUAACACUUUGAUCAACUUAAUCAAUCAUGGUAAAAUUCAAUUGUAACUCGGGCACAAGGAUUUCUAAACCUAAAUUCUAAGGAAAAAAUCAAAGUGACACCAAUUUUUUAAUUCUAAGAUAGCCUAGUGUUAGGUUGUUUGUAUUGUGAUUGACAAUAUUUUGUUAAAACAAGUGAAAUAACAAGAUGUUGGACAAGAUUUCUUGACAUGCUUGUAUGACAUCGUGGCAUGCUGUGGUUUUACAUUCUUGGAAAUUUUGUUUUGAAACGUGAGAUUUGUGAAGAUUCUUUGAUGAUUUGUUUCACGCAUUUUGCGGUUCAAAGUGCUUUUUUUAGAAGCUCAAAGAUCGGUUCCAGUUGUGUAAGGUUUUCUAAGAAUGGUUGUCAAAACAUUUAAGGAGUCAUUAGACCAGAUUUGAUUUGAUUUUGCAGAAGAUUAUGCAGAACGGAUGUCAAAGAAAUUAAGGAAACAUUUAAAUUGAUCCUGCAAAGGAUUGUGCAGAAUGGAUGUCGAAACAUUUAAGGAAACAUUAUAUGUGAUUUUGCAUAAGAUUGUGCAUAAUAAAUGUCAAAACAUUCAAGGAAACAUUAUAUUUGAUUAUGCAUAAUAGAUGUCAAAACAUUUAAGGAGACAUCAGAUUUGAUUUGAUCAGAUUUAAUUUGAGUUGGUUUGUUUUGAUCUGCUAUUUUUUUAGCCCGAAGCCCAUGCUUUUUUGGGGCUAUUUAAAGGAAGUUUCUAAACCUAAGAAAACAAUUAAGUUGCAUAUGUGAUAAUCUCUGUUAGGGUUUAAUUUGUUCAUUGUUAUUUGUGAGCCAUUAUUGUAUCACUUAAAUGCUUGAAUUGGACUGAGUUUUUUGAGUUGUAAUUGUGAAUCACUCAUAAGCUUUUAAGAAAGAGUGGAUUAUGUUUCAUUGGAAGUGUGUCUUCUGUUUAUUGUUAGAAGUUUCUAUCACUGUUGUAUGAUUGAAGGUAAGUGAGAAGGGUCUCAUAUCUAGGAGAGUCUUAGACAGAAAUUCCAAGGGUAGUGAUUAGGUGAGAAGUUUGUAAAACCAGAGGUUGUUUAGAAUUUCAAACUAAUACUAUUAUAGUGGAUUUCCUUCCUAGCUUGUAUGCCCACAUAUGUAGGUGAUGUUGCACCAAACUAGGUUAACAAUUGACAUGUGUUAUUUACUUCUUGCUAUUUACUUUAACAAUGUAAUUGUUUCUGGUGUGACAUGUCUUGAUCCCGGUGUCGUGACAUCGUAUAUGACAUCUAUUAUAUGCGUACUAGUUUAUGGUGUGUCAUGUCUUUAUCCUGGUGUCAUGGCAUCGUAUACGACAUAUGUUAUAUGCAUACCCGAAUUUCAAUUGACAUCAGAGUAUGCACCUUGUUCUGUUUUGGGUGAGCUCCAGAGAGAAAUUUUAUGGUACUAUGAACAAGGGAAGAGUAUUUGUCAACAGACCACCUAUUAUGGAUGGCACCAACUAUGAUUACUAGAAGGCACAUAUGAUGGCUUUUCUAAAAUCUAUGGAUAGAAGGACCUGGAAAGUAGUUAUCAAAGGUUGGGAACAUCUUGUGGUGCAUGACAAAGAUGGGAAGGACAAAUCUAAUUUGAAGCCUGAAGAGGACUGGUCAAAGGAAGAAGAUGGACUUUCUCUUGGAAACUCCAAAGCUUUGAAUGCAUUGUUCAAAGGAGUUGACAAAAAUAUAUUUAAGUUAAUAAAUACUUGUACUAUGGCCAAAGAUGCAUGGGAAAUCCUCAGAACCACUCAUGAAGGCACAUCAAAAGUAAAAAUGUCAAGACUUCAACUUCUCACCACCAAAUUUGAGAAUCUUAAGAUGAAAGAUGAUGAGUGUAUUCAUGAUUUUCACAUGAAUAUUCUUGAUAUUUCUAAUUCAUCUAGUGCCUUGGGAAAGAAGAUGUCAUAAGAGAAGUUGGUUAGAAAAAUUCUCAGAUUGUUGCCUAAGAAGUUUGACAUGAAGCUCACAACUAUUGAAUAAGCCCAAGACAUUUGCAACAUGAUAGCGGAUGAGCUUAUUGGGUCACUUCAAACCUUUGAAUUCACUAUCAGUGAUAGAUCUGAAAAGAAGAACAAGAGAAAAACUUUUAUCUCCAAUACUGAGGAUGAAGAGGAUCAAUGUGACUUCGAGACUGAUGAGAGAAUUUAUAAUGCCAUUGUGCUUCUUGAGUCAAUUCAAUAAGGUGUUGAAGAAAAUGGAUAGGAAGUCAAGACCUAAUGUCAAGAACAUGUCAUUCAACAUCAGUAAGAACAAUGAUUCUCAAAGAAAAUCAAGAACAAAAGAAAAGCCUAAUCAAGGAAAAGGUAUUCAGUGUCGUGAAUGUGAGGGUUUUGGUCACAUUAGACCAAAAUGUCCCACGUAUCUCAAGAAAUAAAAUAAGGGCUUGUCUGUUUAUUGGUCUGAUGAUUCUGAAGGUGAAACUGAUGAUGAAACUGCUAAGCAUGUUACAGCUUUCACUGGUAGAUAUGAAUUUGAUAAAGAUUCUUGUGAUGAGGAUGUCUCUUAUGAAGAAUUGGUUGCUUCCUAUAAAGAACUUUGUGUCAGAAAGGAAGAGGUCUGCAAGACAGGAGAAGAGCAUAAGAGAAUCAUAUCUCAAAUACAAGCUGAAAAAGAGAAACUUUUAUCUACUGUUACUGAUCUUGAAAAUGAGGUAACUCUAUUGUCUUCUAAACUUGAAAACAUGACCAAAUCCAUAAGAAUGUUGAACAAUGGGUCUGAUAUACUAGAUCAAAUUUUUCAAGUUGGAAGAGGGGCUGGAAACUUAAAAGGUAUAGGUUUUAAUUACCAACAUCAAAACAAACAAGGAAAAACCCCAGUGACAAAAUUUAUUCCUCCAGAAAGGAAGUAUGAGGCCAUGAUGUCCGACCAAAUGUUACAACAUCCUGCCAGACAUCAAGAAACUCAAACUAAAGUCAAGUUUUUCCUUGGAAAUGUAAUUAUUAUGGUAAAUAUGGACAUAUAAAACCUUUCUGCUACAGACUGUAUGAUAAAUAUGGACAUUGAGUCUAACAUUGAGCCAGUAAGGACUAAAUCAGAUAACCCUCAAGCCAACAAAGAUCCCUCUAUCAGAAUUCAAAAAGAUCAUCCAAAGGAACUCAUUAUUGUAAAUCUUAAUGAAGGGAUCACCAUUAGAUCCAGAGAUGUGAUAUUUAAUGCUUGCUUUGUCUCAAAGUCUGAACCUAAAAAUGUGAAGAAGGCCUUGACUGAUGAAUUUUGGAUUAAUGCUGAUGAGAAAAAAAAUACUUUUGGAGGAUGCUUCUCUUUGGGAAAUAAUCUUAUAUCUUGGUUCAGUAAGAAGCAAAAUUGUAUGUCCAUGUCUACUAUUGAAGUUGAGUAUAUUACAAUAGGAAGAAGUUUCUCUCAAUUGAUUUGGAUGAAAGAAAUGGGAAAGGAAUAUAAUGUCAAGCAGGAUGCCAUGACAUUAUGUUGUGACAAUCUGAGUGCAAUCAAUAUAUCUAAGAAUCCCAUUCAACAUAGCAAGACAAAGUAUAUUGAUAUUCGUCAUCAUUUUAUUAGGGAUCUUAUUGAGGACAAAAUUGUUACUCUUAAGCAUAUGGCUAUUGAGAAGCAACUGUAUGAUAUAUUUACUAAAACUUUGGAUGAAAAUCAGUUUGAGAAGUUAAGGGGCGAAUUGAGAAUUUGCAUAUUUUAAGAGUUAUAAAAAUUACUGAUGUGAAGGCGUGCAAAUAAUAUUUUCUCUUCCCUCCAUUUAGUGGUGCACGAAACUCCAGUUUAUAGUAAGAAAGAUAAAUAUGAUGAUAAAAAUAUGUCUGUUGAGGAGGAGAAAAAUUUGUCUGAAGAAAAAGAUAUUACUGGUGUGAAGAAGGAUAAGUCUAUUAAUAUUGUAAAUGUUGAUGAUCUAGAUUUUGAUGAUGAGCCUAUUGGAAAGUGAUUGGCUCCGAGUAUUGCUAAAAGAUUAAGGAAUAUAACAGGGAUGAGUGUUGCAUAUGCAAUCAAGCCAUCUAAGGCUCCCAAGAAAAGUGUUGUUGUUGGACCUGCUAAAGGUUGGAGCAAGGUUAUGGCUCCUACUAAGAAAAGGAAGGAAGUACCUUCAAGGGACUCUGAGUAUGAUGUCGAACAGAAUGUCCAAGACAUCAUGCCUCUAAAGAAAGUUGUUGGGAAAAAAGCCCCUACUAAUGUGCCUGAAGUUCCCAUUGACAACAUCUAUUUUCACUUUGUUGAGAAUAUUGAAAAAUGGAAGUUUGUGUACCAAAUGAGGUUGGAUUUGGAAAGAGAACUUGGGAAGGAUGCCCUUGAAUGUAAGGAGGCAGUAAGUCUUAUUGAGAAUGCAGGAUUAAUGAAGAGUGUUGUUGGGUUUGGUAAGUGUUAUGGAAUGCUAGUAAAAGAGUUCAUUGUGAACAUUCCUACGGAUUGUGACAAUAAGAAGAGUAAGGAGUACAUAAAGGUGUAUGUGAGAGGUAGAUCUAUGGAGUUUUCUCUUGAGGUGAUUAACAGGUUUAUGGGAAGGUGUGAGGAUGAGAAGGCUAUAGUAGAAGUAAUUGAUAACAUUGUUUGCAAAGAACUCACUUCCAAACAGGUGUCUCAAUGGCCAAGAAAGGGCAAGCUAUGAAUGAGCAAGUUAAGUGUGAAGUAUGAUAUGCUUCAUAGGAUAUGAUCUUCCAAUUGGAUUCCUAAAAAUCACACAUCAACCAUAGCUACAUGUUUGGGUAAAUUCAUUUACAUUGUUGGAACUAAAACCAAGUUUGACUUUGGGUCUUAUGUCUUUGAGAAAACCCUGAAGCAUGUUAGUACUUUUACUGUGAAAGUGCCUAUUGCUUUUUCCUCUCUAAUUUAUGGAAUAAUUUUGUGUCAACACCCUGGGAUCUUGAUCAGUUCUGAUGCAUCUAGUAAGAGGGAAUAUCUUUUAUCCUUGCAUUAUAGGUUGUUUGUAGGGACACAUUUUCCAAACAUUGUCAUGACAUCUGGUAAGGAAACUGCCAACUCAACCUCAAAGGAUAAGAAUGUUGAUGCAGAUGCUGCUACUGAAACAAAUGUCAGUUCUAACAUCUGAUAUGGUUUGAUUAUUGCUUCUGUAUUUGUUUUAUGGGUUAUGCCCCGCAUAUUUGAGCUCUUUUAGUGCUUUUGGUCUGUAACAUAAUUUUUCGUAUGCUCUGUUACCUCUGUUUUUAGUUUUUCUCUGCUACUUUUGUGGUUGUUUGUCAUUUUUUUGGCUAAAAAGGGGGAGUAGUGGUGUGGUAUGGUUAUUUCGUAUUUUGAUCUCUUUUGUCUAUGCCUAGUUAUGCCUUUUUCCCCUUGAGGGGGAGUACUAAUGGAAGGGGAGUAAUUCUUGCCUAUGUUCUAGUGUUACUCGGAGCAUGAUGUUUUGAUGCUUUCAUGACUGUGAGAUACUUUAGGGGGAGUAUGAUGUUUUGAUGAUGUCAUGACUAGUGUUAGUGGGAGCAUGAUGUUUCCCCAGAUGAUUAAUUCUCCGUUAUCCCCAGCAGAGUUUAUGAUUGUUCCCUAGCUGAGUACGAAUAUUCAUUGCAGCAAUUCACAUGAUUUCGGCAGACCUUUGGUUUCCCCGCCAAUCUCCAUCAGAUUCGCUCCCAGUCAGAUUUCUCUCCUGGUUUCUAAGCAGUUAUUUGUAUUUGAUCCCCCUGCAGGGUUGUCUCCCAUUUGAUAUGGUGUUGACCUAAAAUUCCAUGCCAAGUUAGUAGCAGUUUCCUCAGCCGAUAUCCUAUCUUCUCCCCCAACUAGGGUCGAGCUUUUGAGAUGUUUGGUCUUUUCUCCAGCAGUUGUUUCCCUCUUUUUUGGAUUGGUCGAGAAUUGUAUCGGUGAUUCAAAUUUGCGACAUUUUUGUAUCCUUUGCGAUUGUUUUGUCAACAUAAUCAUUAUAUAUACAUAUAAACUCAUAUAAUUUAUUUAUCGCAUCAUUACACUUUGAGAUUCUUGUAAUUUUAUUCUCUGUCAUGGUUGUACUUUAUCCCCAUGCAAGUUUGGUGUGUCUGUCCUCUUUCAAUUGUAGAGUGUCAUCCCCUUAAGCAGAAAGACUUUAACCUUUCUCCUUUCCCCACCGAGUUUGUUUCCUAGUGGAUGGUUAUUAGUUCAGUUUCCUCCCCAGUUGAUUAUCUGGAUGGAAUCACUCCCCUUGAGUUAUAUACUCAUUGGGUUGAGUCUUUAUUGACCAUUUCUUUCUAGAUCUUACCUAGACAGAUAUUUUUGGUCUCCUAAGAGUCUAUUACCCAGUAACUGGUAGUAUUCUUCUUAGUUUGCAGUUAGUUACUUCUCGCCUAAUACCCAGCAAAAGUAACCCCUAAUAUUCUCUUUGAUGGUAUUCUAUCCAGCAUUCGAUAGAUGUAAUUCCUACUUUUUGUUGAUCAGGUGGUUUAUCCUUGAUAUGUUCAUCUUAACCGAUGACGGGUAUCCUCCUUAACAUCCCCAUGCAAGACUAUCCUUGAUAUGUUCAUCUUAGCCGGCGACAAAUUUUCUUUCCUCUGAGUCUAUCCUUGAUAUGUUCACUUUAAUUAGUGACGAAUAUUCUCUCUCUUUGGUCUUCUGCCCAGUAACCGGUAGUUGUAAAUCCUAUUUUCAGCUUUUCCCCAGUGAUUCUAUUCUUACCCAAUAACCGAUAGUGAAUACACUCCCUGGCGACCCUCAGCGAGUCAUCCUUGAUAUGUUUACCCUAACCGGUGAUGGAUGUCCUCUCUGUCAGAUUUUUAUUAUCUCCUUACCCAGUAACAGGUAGUGAAUAAUAGAUUUAUGCUCCUCCUGUGUUGAAGUUUAUUUCUUCCCUAGUUGAGUUGAGUGCGUAUUUCCUUAGUGAAAUCGCCUGCAUGGUUCGAGUAUUUCAGUUUUAUUCUGAUCUACCCGUUUCCCCUGUAGACGUUCCUUUGUUCCCCCGACUGAAUCUUUCCAUUUUUCAUGGAAUUCCUCUAGUCCCCAACAGUUUUUAAGUCGUAGCCUGGCCUACGCAUAAACCUUUAUCCCCCAGAGUCUUUGUCUCCCCAAUGAGUUCUCCUUACAGAAUGCAAAAUGCUCCUGCGGACUUUCAGUCUCUCUGAAUUAUUUUCCUUUGUGGCAAUAUUUCCCCACAGAGAGUUUAUUUUACAUUCAUAUCAUAUGCAUCAUGAGGUCUCUUAGGGACCAAAAUUUGUUUUUAUAUGUUGUUAUUUAAGCCCAUUCUACUGAGUCAAUACGAAGAUUUUAACCUUCUCCUCCUUAGUUAGAAUGUCCUUAAAUAGGGACAGCUGUAAGACCCCAAUUGAGACAGCCUAUGUCACAUUAGUGAAAUUCUAAAAUAAAAUACAGAAAAUUUAAAAAUUUUAAAUAACAAGACUAAAUUAAUUAAAAUAUACUACUUCACAUAUAUAUGCUUCAAAUACGUUUUACAUAAAGUUUGACACCGUUAAGACUAGUGGCCUUGCCACAUAGAUAAAACUUAAAAUAAAAGUACAUGAAGGAAAUCAAAAGAAAGCUUAAUAGAAGGACCUCCUAAGUCCAACAGGACUGACACUUAUAUUGACUGUAUAUAAUAUUACGUAGUAGUAACGAUGUGAUAAGCGUUUGAAAAAACGCUAGCAACCUUCAGCCUUGACAUUAUCGUAAUCUGUCACUCCAUAGCCUUCCCUCCUAAAUGGUUUAGCUCGUCGCCUGAUCGUCAUAGAUCAAUCCAAAGAUGCAAGACAAAAAGAAUAUAGGGCUAAGAUUUACGUACAAGUUUAAAAGUAGGAAUAAGAUGUAAAAUAGUAAUAUAUAUAUAUAUAUAUAUAUAUAUAUGACAACCACAAUUAUUCGAACAAGCGUAUCUUUAUCCCAUAUUUACCUAUACUCUAUAAGUGUUUAUCUAAUGCAUCCCUGAACUAUAUGCUGACUUCAGGCCACUAAACAUUGUCAAUGAUACCUAUCCCAUUUACCAAGAUCAGAUAUCACAAGACCACAUUAUAUAUAUAUAUAUAUAUAUAUAUAUAUAUAUAUAUAUAUAUAUAUAUAUAUAUAUAUAUAUAUAUAUAUAUAUAUAUAUAUAUAUAUAUAUAUAUAUAUAUAUAUAUAUAUANNNNNNNNNNNNNNNNNNNNNNNNNNNNNNNNNNNNNNNNNNNNNNNNNNNNNNNNNNNNNNNNNNNNNNNNNNNNNNNNNNNNNNNNNNNNNNNNNNNNNNNNNNNNNNNNNNNNNNNNNNNNNNNNNNNNNNNNNNNNNNNNNNNNNNNNNNNNNNNNNNNNNNNNNNNNNNNNNNNNNNNNNNNNNNNNNNNNNNNNNNNNNNNNNNNNNNNNNNNNNNNNNNNNNNNNNNNNNNNNNNNNNNNNNNNNNNUUUAAAUAACAAGACUGAAUUAAUUAAAAUAUACUACUUCACAUAUAUAUGCUUCAAAUAUGUUUUACAUAAAGUUUGACACCGUUAAGACUAGUGGCCUUGCCACGUAGAUAAAACUUAAAAUAAAAGUACAUGAAGAAAAUCAAAAGAAAGCUUAACAGAAGGACCCCCUAAGUCCAACAUGACUGACACUUAUACUGACUGUAUAUAAUAUUACGUACUAGUAACGAUGUGAUAAGCGUUUGACAAAACGCUAGCAACCUUCAGCCUUGACAUUAUCGUAAUCUGUCACUCCAUAGCCUUCCCUCCUAAAGGGUCUAGCUCGUCGCCUGAUCGUCAUAGAUCAAUCCAAAGAUGCAAGACAAAAAGAAUACAGGGCUAAGAUUUACGUACAAGUUUAAAAGUGGGAAUAGGAUGUAAAAUAGUAAUAUAUAUAUAUAUAUAUAUAUAUAUGACAACCACAAUUAUUCGAACAAGCGUAUCUUUAUCCCAUAUUUACCUAUACUCUAUAAGUGUUUAUCUAAUGCAUCCCUGAACUAUAUGCUGACUUCAGGCCACUAAACGUUGUCAAUGAUACCUAUCCCAUUUACCAAGAUCAGAUAUCACAAGACCACAUGCCACCAACGUACUCCCAAUUACCAAGAGCUACGCCACCUACUUCACAUAGAGUCCAGGUGUUAUAAGUCGAUCGUCCCUGAGGAUUCAGGCCAAGACCCUCGUCUUGCCUAGCAUGCAUAAAUAAUAAUCCUCGUUGGGAUUGUAGGCGACUGAUCAACCUCGUACGUCCCAUACCGCACGGCAGUGGACUUACACAUUCCUCAAUGCAUGUCUAUAUAAUCACUCAACCAUCUUGUAGCAACUCUCAACCAUAAGUAUUUAGUUAAUAUUUGGGAAAUAUCUUAUCAACCUUUCAGGUCAUACUUAUUAUCUAAUUACUUCAAUUGAUUGCCAAAUCCAUUAAUGUCUUGUCUAUUUCUCCUUGGCGUGAUCCUUAUCUCUAUAUAAUCAGUUCAGUUUAUACAGUGAAUAAUGUAUGGUUGAUUUCCCAGGUAAGAGAGGUGGAUCGUAAAGGACAUGGUCAAUCAAGUCUUUUCCUUAGCCAGAACCCAACCGAAUACAACUACUCAAUGUAUCCAACUUCCCUUAUUUCAUUGGGGAUCUAACACUUAAUAUCUAAUCAAUGUUGUUAUUUCUCUCCUUAAUAGAUCAUUUUCUUAGUCUAUCAAUCACAAUCAUUCAAGUAUAAAUAAAAUAAACAAUUAGACAAUUAAUCAAACAAUGUAAGCACAAUACAACCUCAAAUUUUCAUAGAUCAUUCUUAUGAUAAAUAAUUAAGGUCGGCAUAACCUCGCUUAGUGAUUUGGGAAAAACAUUAUUCGAGAAUAGGCUCUCCUUACUUAUUUAUCGCUAGUAGGGCUUGGGUCACCACUACACACAUAUAUAUAUUAAGCUAUUUUACGCUAACCGUCCCAACGUAUACGAGACCUUGCCCCCACCUUUUGUUGUUGAUCGUUGUUGAAAGUCCACGAGCGUUUUCUCUGAUGUUUGCCCAGAACCUAAAUAUAUAUAUUAAGCUAUUUUACGCUAACCGUCCCAACGUAUACGAGACCUUGCCCCCACCUUUUGUUGUUGAUCGUUGUUGAAAGUCCACGAGCGUUUUC
rnacentral:lncRNA from 1 species